rnacentral:misc_RNA from 1 species
CAGAUGGUCCAUAAAGCUUUCCAAGCAUCAGCUUUCGUCUCUGCAACUCCGAUCGCAAUGCCCUCGAAGACAGAGUGGAAACACAAGGCAACUAUAAGCAAAAUGCUGUCCCCAAAUGAGCCGAGAGUUGCAAACGAAGAUUUUGCAGGGGCAGCAUCAGUACCAUUGUGCAUCUGAAAAAAUGUGGCUGUGAAGUUCCAUGGUGGCUUGUUUUUCCAUGCUCAACGCUAUCUUGAAGCUCCAUAUCUCCAUUAGCCUCACUGCUUUUCUUGCCAUACACAUAGGAAAUAGCAGAAUCAGCAAGCAUAGUCAUCAAAUAACCAGCACUAGCCAACAUGAAAGCAAAAGGGUACGCUUUCUUAGUCAAGUCCUCGAAGGUCUCAUUUGCAUCGCUCAAGAAGUGCAUCAAAGCAGUCCCCAAGAACACCCCUCCAGC